CGUUGAGUAUUAUCUUUCAGUUC
rnacentral:miRNA from 1 species